GGACCGGUAGCUCAGCUGGAUAGAGCAUCCGCCUUCUAAGCGGACGGUCGUGAGUUCGAAUCUCACCCGGUUCA
rnacentral:tRNA from 3 species